AAGGACAAGUACAUUUCAUUGUACAUUAUACUAAUAUGACUAACGAAAACUAAAUGCUAGUAUGUCUCUAGUGUGCCUUUAUCAUUUGGCGUUACUAUAUUUCCUCCAGAAACGUCUUCAUAUUAUAGUCAUAUUCUUUAUAAUUAGGACCAUGCAGAAUAUUUUCAUCUCUCUUUGUGUGCUAUAAUUUGUUUUCAACUACUUAAUUAUUAUAUUUGUAUAUCUUCAUUAUAUUUUUAUCUGUUAUAACAGUCUUAACAUAAGAACAAAGACUAUAAAAUC
rnacentral:lncRNA from 1 species